rnacentral:rRNA from 1 species
GUGGGGAAUAUUGGACAAUGGGCGAAAGCCUGAUCCAGCCAUGCCGCGUGUGUGAAGAAGGUCUUCGGAUUGUAAAGCACUUUAAGUUGGGAGGAAGGGCAGUAAGUUAAUACCUUGCUGUUUUGACGUUACCGACAGAAUAAGCACCGGCUAACUUCGUGCCAGCAGCCGCGGUAAUACGAAGGGUGCAAGCGUUAAUCGGAAUUACUGGGCGUAAAGCGCGCGUAGGUGGUUCAGCAAGUUGGAGGUGAAAUCCCCGGGCUCAACCUGGGAACUGCCUCCAAAACUACUGAGCUAGAGUACGGUAGAGGGUAGUGGAAUUUCCUGUGUAGCGGUGAAAUGCGUAGAUAUAGGAAGGAACACCAGUGGCGAAGGCGACUACCUGGACUGAUACUGACACUGAGGUGCGAAAGCGUGGGGAGCAAACAGGAUUAGAUACCCUAGUAGUCC